rnacentral:rRNA from 1 species
UGGGGAAUAUUGGACAAUGGGCGAAAGCCUGAUCCAGCCAUGCCGCGUGAGUGAAGAAGGCCUUAGGGUUGUAAAGCUCUUUCGUUGGGGAAGAUAAUGACGGUACCCAAAGAAGAAGCCCCGGCUAACUUCGUGCCAGCAGCCGCGGUAAUACGAAGGGGGCUAGCGUUGUUCGGAAUUACUGGGCGUAAAGCGCGCGUAGGCGGACAUUUAAGUCAGGGGUGAAAUGCCGGGGCUCAACCUCGGAACUGCCUUUGAUACUGGAUGUCUGGAGUUCGGGAGAGGUGAGUGGAAUUCCGAGUGUAGAGGUGAAAUUCGUAGAUAUUCGGAGGAACACCAGAAGCGAAGGCGGCUCACUGGCCCGAUACUGACGCUGAGGCGCGAAAGCGUGGGGAGCAAACA